rnacentral:rRNA from 1 species
UACGUAGGGCGCAAGCGUUUUCCGGAAUUAUUGGGCGUAAAGAGCUCGUAGGCGGCUUGUCACGUCGGGUGUGAAAGCCCGGGGCUUAACCCCGGGUCGGCAGUGGAUACGGGCAGGCUAGAGGUAGGUAGGGGAGAAUGGAAUUCCCGGUGUAGCGGUGAAAUGCGCAGAUAUCGGGAGGAACACCGGUGGCGAAGGCGGUUCUCUGGGCCUUACCUGACGCUGAGGAGCGAAAGCGUGGGGAGCGAACAGG